GCGCCCGUAGCUCAAUGGUGGAGCGGUCGACUUAUAUUCGACUGGCUGGGGGUUCGAGUCCCUCCGGGCGCA
rnacentral:tRNA from 1 species